rnacentral:rRNA from 1 species
GAUGAACGCUGGCGGCGUGCCUAAUACAUGCAAGUCGAGCGAACGGACGAGAAGCUUGCUUCUCUGAUGUUAGCGGCGGACGGGUGAGUAACACGUGGAUAACCUACCUAUAAGACUGGGAUAACUUCGGGAAACCGGAGCUAAUACCGGAUAAUAUUUUGAACCGCAUGGUUCAAAAGUGAAAGACGGUCUUGCUGUCCCUUAUAGAUGGAUCCGCGCUGCAUUAGCUAGUUGGUAAGGUAACGGCUUACCAAGGCAACGAUGCAUAGCCGACCUGAGAGGGUGAUCGGCAACACUGGAACUGAGACACGGUCCAGACUCCUACGGGAGGCAGCAGUAGGGAAUCUUCCGCAAUGGGCGAAAGCCUGACGGAGCAACGCCGCGUGAGUGAUGAAGGUCUUCGGAUCGUAAAACUCUGUUAUUAGGGAAGAACAUAUGUGUAAGUAACUGUGCACAUCUUGACGGUACCUAAUCAGAAAGCCACGGCUAACUACGUG